GGAGGGUGCAAGCGUUGUUCGGAAUUAUUGGGCGUAAAGAGCGUGUAGGCGGUCCGGUAAGUCAGACGUGAAAGCCCUGGGCUCAGCCCAGGAAGUGCAUUUGAAACUACCAGACUUGAGUACGGGAGAGGAGGGGGGAAUCCCCGGUGUAGAGGUGAAAUUCGUAGAUAUCGGGAGGAAUACCAGUGGCGAAGGCGCCCCUCUGGACCGAUACUGACGCUGAGACGCGAAAGCGUGGGGAGCAAACAGGAUUAGAUACCCUGGUAGUCCACGCCGUAAACGAUGAGCACUAGGUGUAGCGGGUAUUGACCCCCCUGCUGUGCCCGUAGCUAACGCAUUAAGUGCUCCGCCUGGGGACUACGGUCGCAAGACUA
rnacentral:rRNA from 1 species